CUUUGUCCUUCCCUGGGUGAGGAAUCAUAGGAUCCUCAGCAGUUCUGGGGGUCCUCUAGGAGAAAUGCUGAGAAAACUGAAAGUCUUCGCUGUGUGCUUUGAGAGUAGCCCAGGCUGGUCUCAAACUCACUAUGUAACAGAUGAUGACUUUGAACUCCUGAUCUUUGAACUCCAGAUGUUAGGGGAGAUAUGCACCACCAAAACCAGCCCAGAACCUCUCGUUUUACAAAUGUGCACAUUUUAUCACAUUUGUGGUAAAAAAUAAAUAAACAAACAAACAAAAACAACAACCGGUCCCUAAAGCUUCAUAGUGAAAGAACAGGAGGCUCAGAGAAUGUUGGUACAAAGAACAGAGUUGCUGCUCUUAUGGAACUUCUAAUAAAACAAGAGGAAAAAGAGGAGGAACAUGAGGAAGAGGAAGAGGAGGAAGAGGAGGAGGAGACGACUAUGUAUGUUUGUGAGAAAUGAAGUCUCUGGGUGCUGGUACAUGCCUAUAAUCACAGCACUCAGGAGGCAGAGGCAGGUGGAUCUCUGAUUUUGAGACCAGCCUAGUCUACAGAGUCAAUUCCAG
rnacentral:lncRNA from 1 species